rnacentral:sRNA from 1 species
AGGGGGACAGACAAAUAGUUGUAACUCUGUCAUGGAAAAGAGAAGUAACUUGGACAGACUUUUGGAUUCAGGCCAAAUGAACAUCUCCAGGCAGAGGGAACAGCAGCAUCUGCAAAGUCCUGGGAGAGAAGAAAAGAAUCUGAACAUUAAGUGGCUUCCUGAAAAUCGACUGCCCAGCCCCGCCACAUCUUUUUUGUUAGUUGCAGUAGCAACACAACCUUAUCUAGAAAAACUGGCCAAAAAAGAAAAUACCAUGAUAAUAGGGUACCUAAUUUAUUGAUUUAAGAAAAAUGUAAUAUUUCAUUCAAAUAAGUACUUUUGGGCUGGGAUGAUAUUUCAUUUAGCUACUUGGCAUGCCACCCAUCUUAGGGAAUUAUAUGAGGGUUUAUAUUUUAAAUAACAUAAAAAGCGAAACAUGCUGAAUGUAAUAAUUUGAAAGAAGUGUAAAUAAUAAAAAUCUGUAAUCUACCACCUGGACUGGUAAUACG